rnacentral:rRNA from 1 species
UGGCGGCGUGCUUAACACAUGCAAGUCGAACGGAAAGGCCCUGCUUUUGUGGGGUGCUCGAGUGGCGAACGGGUGAGUAACACGUGAGUAACCUGCCCUUGACUUUGGGAUAACUUCAGGAAACUGGGGCUAAUACCGGAUAGGAGCUCCUGCUGCAUGGUGGGGGUUGGAAAGUUUCGGCGGUUGGGGAUGGACUCGCGGCUUAUCAGCUUGUUGGUGGGGUAGUGGCUUACCAAGGCUUUGACGGGUAGCCGGCCUGAGAGGGUGACCGGCCACAUUGGGACUGAGAUACGGCCCAGACUCCUACGGGAGGCAGCAGUGGGGAAUAUUGCACAAUGGGCGGAAGCCUGAUGCAGCAACGCCGCGUGCGGGAUGACGGCCUUCGGGUUGUAAACCGCUUUCGCCUGUGACGAAGCGUGAGUGACGGUAAUGGGUAAAGAAGCACCGGCUAACUACGUGCCAGCAGCCGCGGUGAUACGUAGGGUGCGAGCGUUGUCCGGAUUUAUUGGGCGUAAAGGGCUCGUAGGUGGUUGAUCGCGUCGGAAGUGUAAUCUUGGGGCUUAACCCUGAGCGUGCUUUCGAUACGGGUUGACUUGAGGAAGGUAGGGGAGAAUGGAAUUCCUGGUGGAGCGGUGGAAUGCGCAGAUAUCAGGAGGAACACCAGUGGCGAAGGCGGUUCUCUGGGCCUUUCCUGACGCUGAGGAGCGAAAGCGUGGGGAGCGAACAGGCUUAGAUACCCCUGGUAGUCCACGCUGUAAACGGUGGGUACUAGGUGUGGGGGUCCAUUCCUGGGGUUCCGUGCUGUAGCUAACGCUUUAAGUACCCCGCCCUGGGGAGUACGGCCGCAAGGCUAAAACUCAAAGGAAUAGACGGGGCUCCGCACAAGCGGCGGAGCAUGCGGAUUAAUUCGAUGCAACGCGUAGAACCUUACCUGGGUUUGACAUGGAUCGGGAGUGCUCAGAGAUGGGUGUGCCUCUUUUGGGGUCGGUUCACAGGUGGUGCAUGGCUGUCGUCAGCUCGUGUCGUGAGAUGUUGGGUUAAGUCCCGCAACGAGCGCAACCCUUGUUCACUGUUGCCAGCACGUUAUGGUGGGGACUCAGUGGAGACCGCCGGGGUCAACUCGGAGGAAGGUGGGGAUGACGUCAAGUCAUCAUGCCCCUUAUGUCCAGGGCUUCACGCAUGCUACAAUGGCUGGUACAGAGAGUGGCGAGCCUGUGAGGGUGAGCGAAUCUCGGAAAGCCGGUCUCAGUUCGGAUUGGGGUCUGCAACUCGACCUCAUGAAGUCGGAGUCGCUAGUAAUCGCAGAUCAGCAACGCUGCGGUGAAUACGUUCCCGGGGCUUGUACACUCCGCCCGUCAAGUCAUGAAAGUUGGUAACUCCCGAAGCCGGUGGCUCUAACCGUUGUGGGGGAGCCGUCGAAGGUGGGACUGGGAAUUAGGACUAAGUC